GACGAACGCUGGCGGCGUGCCUAAUACAUGCAAGUAGAACGCUGAAGGGGGAGCUUGCUUCUCCGGAUGAGUUGCGAACGGGUGAGUAACGCGUAGGUAACCUGCCUGGUAGCGGGGGAUAACUAUUGGAAACGAUAGCUAAUACCGCAUAAUAGUAGAUGUUGCAUGACAUUUGCUUAAAAGGUGCAAUUGCACCACUACCAGAUGGACCUGCGUUGUAUUAGCUAGUUGGUGGGGUAACGGCUCACCAAGGCGACGAUACAUAGCCGACCUGAGAGGGGGAUCGGCCACACUGGGACUGAGACACGGCCCAGACUCCUAAGGGAGGCAGCAGUAGGGAAUCUUCGGCAAUGGACGGAAGUCUGACCGAGCAACGCCGAGUGAGAGAAGAAGGAUUUCGGAUCGUAAAGCUCUGUUGUAAGAGAAGAACGAGUGUGAGAGUGGAAAGUUCACACUGUGACGGUAUCUUACCAGAAAGGGACGGCUAACUACGUG
rnacentral:rRNA from 1 species